CCUACGGGUGGCAGCAGUGAGGAAUAUUGGUCAAUGGACGGAAGUCUGAACCAGCCAUGCCGCGUGCAGGAAGACGGCUCUAUGAGUUGUAAACUGCUUUUGUACAAGGGUAAACCUGAAUACGUGUAUUCAGCUGAAAGUACUGUACGAAUAAGCAUCGGCUAACUCCGUGCCAGCAGCCGCGGUAAUACGGAGGAUCCAAGCGUUAUCCGGAUUUAUUGGGUUUAAAGGGUGCGUAGGCGGAUUGAUAAGUUAGAGGUGAAAUGUCCGAGCUUAACUCGGGAACUGCCUCUAAUACUGUUGGUCUAGAGAGUAGAUGCGGUAGGCGGAAUGUAUGGUGUAGCGGUGAAAUGCAUAGAGAUCAUACAGAACACCGAUUGCGAAGGCAGCUUACCAAUCUAUAUCUGACGUUGAGGCACGAAAGCGUGGGGAGCAAACAGGAUUAGAUACCCCUGUAGUC
rnacentral:rRNA from 1 species